rnacentral:rRNA from 1 species
AUUGAACGCUAGCGGAAUGCUUUACACAUGCAAGUCGAACGGCAGCACGGAGAGCUUGCUCUCUGGUGGCGAGUGGCGAACGGGUGAGUAAUGUAUCGGAACAUACCCAGUAGCGGGGGAUAACUACUCGAAAGAGUGGCUAAUACCGCAUACGCCUACGGGGAAAGGGGGGGGAAGGUCGUUAGGACCUCUCACUAUUGGAGUGGCCGGAUAUCGGAUUAGCUAGUUGGUGGGGUAAAGGG